rnacentral:rRNA from 1 species
AUUGAACGCUGGCGGCAUGCUUUACACAUGCAAGUCGAACGGGGUUAUUUAGCUUGCUAGAUAACUUAGUGGCGAACGGGUGAGUAAUGUAUCGGAACGUGCCUUGUAGUGGGGAAUGACUAAGCGAAAGUUUAGCUAAUACCGCAUAAUACCUGAGGGUUAAAGUGGGGGAUCUUAGGACCUCAUGCUACAAGAGCGGCCGAUAUCUGAUGAGCUAGUUGGUAAGGUAAAGGCUUACCAAGGCGACGAUCAGUGGCUGGUCUGAGAGGACGACCAGCCACACUGGGACUGAGACACGGCCCAGACUCCUACGGGAGGCAGCAGUGGGGAAUUUUGGACAAUGGGCGAAAGCCUGAUCCAGCAAUGCCGCGUGUGCGAAGAAGGCCUUCGGGUUGUAAAGCACUUUUGUCAGAGAAAAAAAGACAUAUGCUAAUAUCAUGUGUUUAUGAUGGUAUCUGAAGAAUAAGCCCCGGCUAACUUCGUGCCAGCAGCCGCGGUAAAAC